UGAGGAAUAUUGCCCAAUGGAGGAAACUCUGAGGCAGCGACGCCGCGUGGGUGAAGAAGGUCUUCGGAUCGUAAAGCCCUUUUCUGCGUGACGAGGAAGGACGGUAGCGCAGGAAAAAGUCUCGGCUAACUACGUGCCAGCAGCCGCGGUAAAACGUAGGAGGCAAGCGUUAUCCGGAGUUACUGGGCGUAAAGCGCGCGCAGGCGGAUGGAUAAGUGGGUUGUGAAAGCGCUCGGCUAAACCGGGCGAGGACAAAUCAGACUGUUCAUCUAGAGGCGGAUAGAGGAGCGUGGAAUUCCGGGUGUAGCGGUGAAAUGUGUAGAGAUCCGGAGGAACACCAGUGGUGCAAACGACGCUCUGGGUCCGAACUGACGCUGAGGCGCGAAAGCGUGGGGAGCGAACG
rnacentral:rRNA from 1 species